GGGAAGGUGGCUCAGUGGUAGAGAGCUUGCCUCACAUGCAUGAGGCAUGUGACCCUUUUCUUCCCU
rnacentral:tRNA from 1 species